rnacentral:tRNA from 1 species
GGGCGCGUAGCUCAGUGGGAGAGCACUCGCUUCACACGCGAGGGGUCGCUGGUUCAAUCCCAGCCGUGCCCACCA